UCCGAUAUGGUGUAGUGGCUAACAUCGCCGUCUCUCACACGGCAGCCGGGGUUCGAUUCCCCCUAUCGGAG
rnacentral:tRNA from 1 species